rnacentral:rRNA from 1 species
GAUGAACGCUGGCGGCGUGCCUAAUACAUGCAAGUCGAGCGAACGGACGAGAAGCUUGCUUUUCUGAUGUUAGCGGCGGACGGGUGAGUAACACGUGGAUAACCUACCUAUAAGACUGGGAUAACUUCGGGAAACCGGAGCUAAUACCGGAUAAUAUUUUGAACCGCAUGGUUCAAAAGUGAAAGACGGUCUUGCUGUCACUUAUAGAUGGAUCCGCGCUGCAUUAGCUAGUUGGUAAGGUAACGGCUUACCAAGGCAACGAUGCAUAGCCGACCUGAGAGGGUGAUAGGCCACACUGGAACUGAGACACGGUCCAGACUCCUACGGGAGGCAGCAGUAGGGAAUCUUCCGCAAUGGGCGAAAGCCUGACGGAGCAACGCCGCGUGAGUGAUGAAGGUCUUCGGAUCGUAAAACUCUGUUAUUAGGGAAGAACAUAUGUGUAAGUAACUGUACACAUCUUGACGGUACCUAAUCAGAAAGCCACGGCUAACUACGUG